UGGCUCAGAUUGAACGCUGGCGGCAGGCCUAACACAUGCAAGUCGAACGGUAGCACAGAGAGCUUGCUCUCGGGUGACGAGUGGCGGACGGGUGAGUAAUGUCUGGGAAACUGCCUGAUGGAGGGGGAUAACUACUGGAAACGGUAGCUAAUACCGCAUAACGUCGCAAGACCAAAGAGGGGGACCUUCGGGCCUCUUGCCAUCAGAUGUGCCCAGAUGGGAUUAGCUAGUAGGUGGGGUAACGGCUCACCUAGGCGACGAUCCCUAGCUGGUCUGAGAGGAUGACCAGCCACACUGGAACUGAGACACGGUCCAGACUCCUACGGGAGGCAGCAGUGGGGAAUAUUGCACAAUGGGCGCAAGCCUGAUGCAGCCAUGCCGCGUGUAUGAAGAAGGCCUUCGGGUUGUAAAGUACUUUCAGCGGGGAGGAAGGCGAUAAGGUUAAUAACCUUGUCGAUUGACGUUACCCGCAGAAGAAGCACCGGCUAACUCCGUGCCAGCAGCCGCGGUAAUACGGAGGGUGCAAGCGUUAAUCGGAAUUACUGGGCGUAAAGCGCACGCAGGCGGUCUGUCAAGUCGGAUGUGAAAUCCCCGGGCUCAACCUGGGAACUGCAUUCGAAACUGGCAGGCUGGAGUCUUGUAGAGGGGGGUAGAAUUCCAGGUGUAGCGGUGAAAUGCGUAGAGAUCUGGAGGAAUACCGGUGGCGAAGGCGGCCCCCUGGACAAAGACUGACGCUC
rnacentral:rRNA from 1 species